CUCUGACUCAGCUUUUAUCAUGUGAAGCUCCUUGGAAAACAGAAGAUUUGAUAUGCUUUUAAUUUGUUUUGCAGACUUUGGUGGAGGAGGUUGUCUGAACACCAGUGAUCCCUUCCUUAUGACCUCUGGGAUGUGUGGGGCACAAGACAGGUGUCCUUUUCCAGGACAUGUGAUCCAUUGAAGAGCUCUCCUAGCCAUGCCUAGUGAGAUGGAAAGAGAGAGCAGCAUCAGUUUGGCUGAUUCUUUACCUGAAAGAGCCAUGGUUUCACCAAGGCUUGGUGAUUCACUGUUGAAGCAGAGAGCCCAGGAGAUCCCUGAAAAGCUGGACUGGGUGUCCCUCCUAGCAUGGAAAAUAAAUGAGGACAACAGCUGUCACUGGUAGAAGUCCCUUUUCUGCAGCAGUAUCUACCAUUUCACAUACAUGAGCAGCUCAACCCAAUGAGGGCCAACCCAGCUGUACAGACAACAGGCAAAGAGAUGGAGGGAAGAAAGAUUGGGUUAAAAACAGGAAAUGCGUGUCUGAGAACAGAUACCAGCCCACCAACCACUUCCUGGCCAAAUUUAACACAAACACGAGCCCAAAGCACAGUGAACAUCUCUUCUGUGGCCAAGAACCGGAUCCGCCUCCUCUCCACUUCUGAAACAAAAUAAAC
ensembl:lncRNA